rnacentral:rRNA from 1 species
GAUGAACGCUGGCGGCGUGCUUAACACAUGCAAGUCGAACGAUGAAGCCCAGCUUGCUGGGUGGAUUAGUGGCGAACGGGUGAGUAACACGUGAGUAACCUGCCCUUAACUCUGGGAUAAGCCUGGGAAACUGGGUCUAAUACCGGAUAGGAGCGUCCACCGCAUGGUGGGUGUUGGAAAGAUUUAUCGGUUUUGGAUGGACUCGCGGCCUAUCAGCUUGUUGGUGAGGUAAGGGCUCACCAAGGCGACGACGGGUAGCCGGCCUGAGAGGGUGACCGGCCACACUGGGACUGAGACACGGCCCAGACUCCUACGGGGGGCAGCAGUGGGGAAUAUUGCGCAAUGGGCGCAAGCCUGAUGAAGCGACGCCGCGUGAGUGAUGACGGCCUUCGGGUUGUAAACCUCUUUCAGUAGGGAAGAAGCGAAAGUGACGGUACCUGCAGAAGAAGCACCGGCUAACUACGUGCCAGCCGCCGCCGUAACAC